AGAUCUUUGGUCCAGUCGAACGACAGAGCCCUACAUCAGCCUUACUGUGCACUUUUUGGAUCAAGACUUUGAACUGAAAACGCGAUGUCUACAGACAUCCUAUUUCCCCGGACAGCACACCGCAGAAAACAUUGCCUGUGGAUUAAGUGAUGCUUUGGCCAGCUGGCAUUUGCGGGAAGAGCAGCUGGUUUGCAUUACUACCGACAACGGGGCGAACGUUGUGAAAGCAAUAGAACUCAACCACUGGGUCAGACUUCAGUGCUUUGGCCAUAGGCUGCAUCUUGCUAUUGGAAAUGCUAUUAAGGAUGACAGCCGCAUUGACCGUGCUGCUGGGCUGUGCAAAAAAUUGGUGGGACAUUUUUCCCACAGCUGGAAACAGAAGACGGCACUAAAAAAAGCACAACAGGAGCACAACCUCCCUGAGCACUCACUCAUCACAGAAUGUCCAACUAGGUGGGGCUCAAGACAAAAGAUGAUUGAGAGGGUCUUGGAGCAGCGGCGGGCCAUUUCUGAUGUCCUAUCAGCAGACCGUAAAACACGGCAUCUGGUUCCCUCCUGGCAGGACCUGGAUGUACUAGAGUCUGUAAACCUGGCAUUACGCCCUUUGCAGGAAUUUACUGAUGCUCUUUCCGGGGAAAUCUAUGUCAGUGUUUCAUAUGUGAAACCCGUCCUUCAUCUUUUAAAGACAUCGGUCCUUGUAGAAAAGGAAGAUGACACAGAUUUAACCAAGUCCAUUAAAGUGAAAAUCCUGGAUUACAUGAAUACAAAGUAUGAUGACCCAGGAACACAAGAACUUCUGGACAUCGCAUCCUUCAUGGACCCCAGGUUCAAGGUCACCUACAUCAGCAGUGAAAAAGUUGAGGACAUCAAGAGCAGGAUCAUGUCAGAAAUGAAAGGCUCUGCACAGAAGGAGGGGACACAUUCUGAGAACACAGAGGGGGCUCUGUUUCACUGUUCACAUGAACAGUAUUCUGCAAUUUGUAGUCAUUUUGAGUAGUUGAAUGACUUGUCAUAACACAGGGACAGAUUUCCAUUUGAGGGGGUGAUGAAUGAGGACACACCAUUAAUCUCAUUAAUCCUAAACCAAAGUAUGCAUUCAUACAAUCCCUCUCUGAAGGUAGUAAUACAGACCAUUUGAAAAAGGGGGCUCAGGGAAACACAUAUUAGUUUUGGCCACUUUUUUUGCAUACCUAGCCAAGGGCAGCUUGUCCAGAAGCAUCUGAAAUACAAGAAGGUGCCAUCUGAUGGAGAAUUCUCUGGGGUUGCCUGCACAUAGAAAUGGCGUUAUUUAGCCGUCCCAUUCACGUCUGAAUAUAAAAGAGUCUGAAAAACAAAUAGAUGCACUAUGCCUGGUAUUGAGUAAAUAAUAAAAUACAGAAGUGGUGUUUUUCCCCUCCCAAAAUAUAGUUAUUCCAGUCCAUACUGUAGAUCACCAAACCCCUUAAAGGAACUUGUGUCACUGGGGAAGGAAAGGAAUAAAUAUAAAUGUAAUAGAUGUUAACUCCAUCAUGCUGCUUUUAUAUCACUGCUGCUUUUAAACAUAACUACUGGGCUAGACAUAGAGUUGGUUGAGAGAACACACAUCCAAUUUAGCCCUUUCUUCUACAGUGUGUUCCUGCAUCCUCCUAAUGUAUACAAAUACGUGUUUAAGCGGUGACAAGAAGGACUUCCUAUUAUAUUGCAAAAUGAAUGCAAGGAAGUGUACAAGUGCUGUUUGUUUUGGAAGAAGGGUGAACAAUUGAGACACAACUAACAUUAAUUUUACUUAAUAUAAUGCUGCCUAUGAUAAACUAAACACAAGCCACAAUUAUGCUUGCACCUCUACUUCCUACCUAUCCAAGUAUUAGGAGGCUUAACUAAUAAGGAAUAUCUAGGCCACUUGUAUCAUCUGUUAUAGAUAAACUCUGUAAGGAGGAGAUACGUAGUAUGUGAACAUUACUUCCACUGCUGCCUGUCACCACUCUCCUCCACUCCAGCCACCUGUUUAGGUCACCUGGACCUCCUAAACAGAAUAAUAGAACCCUAACUAGCUAGUUAUUUAACAGUUCAAACAAGGCACAAAACUAUUUACUGUAGCUUUUUCCAGGUGUCCUCCUUGUUAUAAAGGUAGCUAGCUAGGCUAGUGCCAGUGGGCUGGUUGGCUACCAAAUAACUACUGAAUCUUUUCUUAUCUAAAAUGAAAAAAUGCUCAUAUAUAAACAAUGAUUAGGCAAAUAUACAGGGUAGGUUGUUUAGUCAACAUACUGUUGCGGUUAUUUCACGUGCGUUCCAUACACAAUAGCCUGUCUACCUAUUAAUGUAACAAGCCUAGAAUGUAAACAGACUGUAACUGUUGAUGUUGCCCUGUCUGGUUGACCAAUGGAGAUGCAUUUCCUCUCUUAAACCCUCCUCCGUGAAAUUUGUGUAAAAAACUCGCAACCGCAAAAAAGAAAUCGAGAGCAAAAUCCAGGGUAACGUAACCAAAAAUAGAAAAAAACUGCAGCCAAAGACACAUUAUCACAUUAUCAAGAACAAAUAUUCCCUCUCAAAUAAAUAUUUGCAUUCAUUUUCAAUCAAUUUGUUUUUGUAUUUCAAAAGAUUCUUGCAAUAUAUAUAUUUUUGAUCUCAACACUUUUUAGUUUAAAUAUUAAUUAUUUUGUUAGCAGUACCAAUACUUGUUUGUUUUUAUUGAAACAAAAGUAACUCCAUAGAGAUAUGCAUGGAACCAAUUUAGUGAUUUUGUGUCAAAAUCGAUAAGGAUGGUACCAGUAAGUUUGCCUUGGUCUUUUUUUACUGUUGAUAUAGGUCCAUAGUCAUUUGGGGGUAAGGAGGUCCCUUCAUUUUUUACAAUUUGGCUCAUCUGGACUGCCACUUGUUAACCAUUACAUGGACAUGGACUACAAAUACCUUAGAGAGAGUAUUUCUCUUGAGAAUAAUGUAAUUUAUUGGAGGGAAAGUAUUGUUUUUUUCUGAUUAUUUAUGUUCAUUUUAUUAUGUACUGAUUAUUUAAGUAUAUUUUUCUGUUUGACAGUUUUUCAUUGGAAACCACUCAGGCAGACAUUUACUGUAAAUGUAUGGAUUUCCUUUUCAGUAUAGAAUAUCUCCAGAUUGGUCAAUUUCACUCAGGCAGGUGUUGAUUACUCAUUCCCUAGACACAGACACAUGUAUCAGCAUCCUUCAGUGGCUCAUUUGUAGAAGCAGACAUGCUUCUGUGCUGCAGCAUCUGCUACUCAUGUCUAGUGUCUGAUGUGAUUACCCAUUACUCAACACCUCAACACGUCUACACCCACGCACUUCAUUUUUCUACAACCUCACAAUAAAAACUGUUGUUGAUUGUCAUAAUCGUUUGGAAUAUUACAACCGUAAAAUAUCUUGAGUCACUGUUUUUGUUUGUAUUAAUUUCACAUUCUGUUUUGAAGAGCAUCUCAAUCAAUUGUUUGCCAAGUGUUUUACCUGGCAUCCUGUAAAAGAGCCUCUCCCCUGCUCCGUCAUUGGUCUGCAGGAAACGGCUGUCCACCGACCAGUCCAAAUGGGUGAUGAAACUAGUUGAGCGGUUGCACUCUCCCACUUUCUUGUAACGCUGGGCGACGGCAUAGAUGUCCACCAGGCCAUCGUUAGAGCCCACUGCCAGACUGCUGAGGAUCUCUGGACCACCGCAGUCUUCGCUACACACACCAGGCCCUAAUUGAUCAAGAGAGACAUCCCUGCCACAUAACUCUUCCGCUGUUCCUUUUUGUUUUGGUUUCAGUUUUGCUUAGUUUUGGGUUAUUUUCCUUUGUACAACAAAUGCAGCGAAGGCCUGCGUCUGCCCACCCUCUCUGUCCUCUGCCUGUUACAAUUUACGAAGCGAAAAAGUUUAUAUAACACUUUUUAGAAAAUAUUAAAAACUGAAAUAUGUAACUGACAAUUAUUCAAACCCUUAUUCUGUACUUUGUAGAAAUGUAAUUGCAAUCCCAGCUUUGAAUCUGCUUGGGUAUCCCUCUAUCAGCCACCAUUCUUCCUUGCCGAUCCUCUCAAUCUCUGUGAGAUUGGAUAGGGAGCAUCAGUGAAUUGCGAUUUUCAGGUCUCCUCACAGAUGUUCAAUAGGGUUCAAGUCCAGGC